rnacentral:rRNA from 1 species
UACGAAGGGGGCGAGCGUUGUUCGGAUUUACUGGGCGUAAAGGGCGCGUAGGCGGCCUUGCAAGUCGGUUGGUGAAAGCCCGGGGCUCAACCCCGGAGGUGCGGCCGAGACUGCAGGGCUGGAGGCCGGAAGAGGAGGGUGGAAUACCCAGUGUAGAGGUGAAAUUCGUAGAUAUUGGGAGGAACACCUGUGGCGAAGGCGGCCAUCUGGACGACGAUUGACGCUGAGACGCGAAAGCGUGGGUAGCAAACAGG